rnacentral:lncRNA from 1 species
CCGGGGGAUGCAAGGAACUUUCCCUCUCUGUCCCUCUCUGUAGGGAUGGAAAGAGGAGAGCGAUUUCUGGGAUGGAAGCCAUCUGCCUCCUCUCAACUCUCGCUGCCCAACCAGAAAGGGAAGAAAAACAGGAAGAUGCGGGAUAGGUGAGGAGCUGGGUGAGCGCCGCCAGCCCGCAGCCCAGCAGAGCAGGGCUUGGCCAAGCCUGGCUCCAGCCGCAGAGUCCAGUGGGUCUCUAGUCCAGGGACGUCGUGGGAGAAUCAGGAAGUCUAAGCCACACAGCCGAGAAGGGGCAGCUGGCGUCUCGGAGGCCGUCACGAGCUGUCACUCCGCGCCCGCCGGAGUUGCCGCUCAGUUACCAACUUCAACCCGGGGCCGGCCACGGAGCCUCCCGCCGUCCCUACCCCGCGUCCCCGGCACCCCCGCGCCCCCGGCACCCCCGGACCCCCGCGCCCGCGUCACUUACUCCUCUGCCGUCGCCACCUGUCUGGGUGCAGGUCUCCUCCCUGCCUGGCCGCGGAGCGUCCUCCCCGUCCUCGCAGUCCUCGGGCUGUGCGCUUCCCCGCUCCAGCAACCAGCCGCAGCCUCUUCUCCUCGGGAGGGACGUCGUCCUCCUCCCUCCUGGGCCGGCCAUC